CCAAUUUCACCAAAUCUCAUUUUCUUCUCCUCAUUUUCCCGAGAAAAUCCAAAUUCCUCUAACACCCAGGUGUCUCUCGUCUGAUUUUAGGGUUUCUUUCCGUCAAAUCAAAACGUAUUAUGUUUCUCUCAUCAUCAGUUUAUUGUCUUCCUCUCACGAACCACUGCACUCCACCUCUCCCACAGGGCCACCGGCCGCGAGUCUCACUGCAUCGCCAUUUCAGUUCAGAUUUUUCUUCUUUUCAGGGGAAGUAUUACUCUGCGAAGUGCAAACGGUGUUGCUCGUUUCUUUAAGGGGAACCUAGUUGUUUUCUUCUCAUUUUCGCUUCAUUUGGUAACUG